UGUUAUUAAAAAUAUACGGUCAAAACAAUAUAAAUGAAUAGUACAUUUGGCCAACGAUCUUAUAUAUUGGGACGGAAGGAGUAUCGACAUUCAAUUUGAAUUGGAUACUGAAGGUUAUUUGGAAUUAUUUGCUUCCAUUUAAAUUGGAUACCGAAGGUUAUUUGGAAUUGGAGGUUUAGCAGUUCCAUUGAUUUUGAUAUGUAAUCAAAUUUUCUAACUGUUGUUUUGUUCGACAUGUAGAUAUUAUGAUGCUUAUAUCCACAUUGAAUUUUGU
rnacentral:lncRNA from 1 species